rnacentral:rRNA from 1 species
AUUGAACGCUGGCGGCAUGCUUUACACAUGCAAGUCGAACGGCAGCGCGGGCUUCGGCCUGGCGGCGAGUGGCGAACGGGUGAGUAAUGCAUCGGAACGUGCCCAGUUGUGGGGGAUAGCCCGGCUAAAGCCGGAUUAAUACCUCAUACGACCUGAGUGUGAAAGCGUGGGUCCGAAAGGCCUCGCGCUUUUGUAGCUGCCUAUGUCGGAUUAGCUAGUUGGUUGGGUAAAGGCUUACCAAGGCAACGAUCCGUAGCUGGUCUGAGAGGCCGACCAGCCACACUGGAACUGAGACACGGCCCAGACUCCUACGGGAGGCAGCAGUGGGGAAUUUUGGACAAUGGGGGAAAGCCUGAUCCAGCAAUGCCGCGUGAGGGAAGAAGGCCUUCGGGUUGUAAACCGCUUUUGUUAGGGAAGAAAUACUGUGGGCUAAUACCCCGGGGGGAUGACGGUACCGGAAGAAUAAGCACCGGCUAACUACGUG